ACACAGAACAGACGAAAGAAAAGAAAAAAGAAGAAACGGAUUCAUAUCAUGCGCCGUAGAUUUUUUCAAGGGAGGCCUCCCUUACUUGAUUGUUUAUUUCUC
rnacentral:ribozyme from 12 species